UUGCUUUUCUAUUGUUUCAUAUUCUUCUUUCUUACGACGACGGAGUCCUUGACUGUAGCAAAAAAAACAUAUGGUUUAUGUUUCAAAGCUUUUGAAAGCUUAAUUCUCCAAUAAAUGAAUGACAAAUCAAAGUUUUUUCAGCAACAAAGAUGCCGAAGAACAGAAGAAAAAGGGAAGGAGUAAGAGGCUCACCUUAAACCACACUUCCAUGGCCCCUAGAAAACUUGAGAAGUACAACAAGAAGAAAAGAAGAAAGGAAAAAUGUUGUGAUAAUUAGAAAUAAAAAAUAGGGCAUAAGAAAUUCGGGUUGUAGGAGAAAAAAGACUUAUGUCUAUUAUUUAGACUCGGUAAGUAUUCCAUAUUUUUCUUGUGUGUGUUUA